CCAGCUGCGCGUGCGCAGAGCGAACAGAGGUUUUAAUUGGCCAGAGCGGCUAGCGCGCGGAACCUGUGUGGCUCGGCAGGAACAUAGUGGGGGUGAACUAGGUCCCCGUUCUUCCCAGGGGUUCCUCUUGGCCCUAGGAAGCCCUGGCUGGGUCCCCGUGACCACAGGCCCGAGGCUGGAGACGGCUGCUCCUUGCGUUCGGCUUCCAACCCGAUGGAAGAGCUUUCCGGGAAGCCCCUCAGCUAUGCGGAGAAGGAAAAGUUGAAGGAAAAGCUAGCAUUUUUGAAAAAGGAAUACAGCAGGACACUUGCUCGACUUCAGCGUGCCAAAAGAGCUGAGAAGGCUAAGAACUCUAAGAAAGCCAUAGAAGAUGGUGUGCCCCAGCCAGAAGCUUCCUCACAGCUAAGCCACUCUGAAUCUAUAAAUAAAGGCUUUCCUUGUGACACAUUGCAAAGCAACCAUCUGGAUGAGGAGACUGGAGAAAACAUCUCUCAGAUACUUGAUGUUGAACCUCAAUCCUUUAACUGUAAACAAGGCAAAGAAGUAUUACAUACACCAAGAGCAGGUGACAUUCAAGGACAACUUUUGCAUAGCACCAGCAGCCCUGAUGGCAAGAAAGAGCAGAACACGCUUCCGGGGACAACAAAGACGCCGUGGGAGAAGUCAUCUGUUUCACAGGAGAAGGAAGAUUAUUUUGACACUAAUUCUCUGGCGCUCCUUGGUAAGCAUCGAAAAGGGCAAGAAUCAAUCAGUAGGAAGAAUUCUAGGACUCCCGUGAGUGAAAAGACUCACCUUUUAAGUCUCAGGUCUCAGAUCCCUGACCCUCCAGCACUUGUUACAGGAAUUGGAGAGGGUAUAUUAAUUCCGCCAUCUGGCAAAUCAGAAAGGGGAAUUGAUACACUUGUGAGAGGAAAUACUGUCUCCGCGGAGGCUGCAGUUCCUUCAUGUACUGCGUCAAACAGCAAUCACAGUCAGCACCUUGAGCAUACACCUCCUAAAAGUGGCUGCAAAAUUACUACUCAGGGCCCGGCUUCAUCCACAAACCUGGUGGCACAAGACCAAAAAAUGACUAUAUUUACAGUAAACUCAGUAGUAUAUAAAGCUGUGCGUGCCCAUGGUCAGCUGCCAGGAAGUCCCAAUUCUUGUUCUGUAAAUGAUCUCACGCAUAGUAACUUGCCAGCAAAUAGUACCCCAAACUCUAAAUCUUUAAAAUCUCCCAGUAACACUGUUGAUGAGAGAAAUGAACCUCUUCAGGAAGAUGAAAUUCUUGGUCCAUCUAAGAACUUCAACCUGGCAGCAGUCUCUCCUCCUUCCACAGAAAGUCAAAUACAUUCUUGUACUAUGCUUGAAGGCCUUCUGUUUCCUGCAGAAUACUAUGUUAGAACAACCCGUCGUAUGUCAGAUUGUCAGAGAAAAAUAGCUCUGGAAGCUGUAAUUCAAAGUCAUUUGGGUGUCAAAAAGAAAGAGCUUAAAAAGAAAACCAAAGCUACUAAGGCGGUCGUCCUCUCCAGUGAAGACACUGACCAGAGUGAAAGUGGCAUGCUGGACACGAGCACGGGACAGUCCAGUUCAGGAAGCCUCUCUCAGAAACUGCUCUCACCAGCUGAGGUCAGCUCUCCUCCAGGACCUGCUGGAAAGGCCACCACACCGCCACCUGGUAGAGGACACAGAGGGAAACGAAAAUCAGCCCGCACCUCCACACUGGGUCACUGCCAGCUGCUUUUUCCUCCUUGUGCCGCACUGGCUGUUAACAGGUCCAAGGGCAAAUUCACCAAGCAUAAAUGUCAGAACAGAGGCGUGGUUAUUCAUGACUUUGAGUUACCUGAUGAAGACUUUGGGCUUCUUAAACUUGAAAAAUUGAAGUCCUGCUCGGAAAAACUGAUUGAGUCUCCUGACUCAAAAAACUGUGGUGAGAGGCUUCCUAGAGAAGGAAACCAUGCUGCUCUGGAGGAACUGCAAAGAGAUUCGGAGACGGAGGGCUUGGAAGAGGAGCUCACUGUUCCACCAGGAGAAGCGUACCGUCCAGGGCCAACCCUGAGAAGGCAGCCAGGGAGCAAGGACCUUUCUUCAUCCAUAGUGCUUUUCACUCCUGCAGACACUGCUGCGCCUAACGACAGUGGCAGGCCUCCUCCCUCCCUGUGCUCACCUGCUUUCCCCAUCUUAGGCAUGACUCCAGCUCUUGGCUCCCAAGCAGCCGGUGAGACUCUAUCUACUGAAGCUGCACAGCCUUGCUCUACAUCCCAACCUCCUCUCUUGGGAGACACAAACAGUCUUGUCAAUAACAGUAAACAGUGCAACAGUUCAGCCUGCUCACCAAAACCGGACACCAACCUGCAAGCGUCAGGUAGGCAAGGACAACCUGCCUGUGACAGUGACUCUGGCCCCCAAGCAACACCUCUACCUGUUGAGUCAUUCACUUUCAGAGAAAAUCAGCUUUGUGGAAAUGCAUGCCUCGAGUUACAUGAACAUUCCACUGAACAGACUGAAACUGCAGAUCGCCCUGCUUGUGACAAUCUAAACCCAGGAAACCUACAGUUGGUUUCAGAGUUAAAGAAUCCUUCCAGUUCCUGCUCUGUGGAUGUGAGCGCCAUGUGGUGGGAAAGAGCUGGUGCUAAGGAGCCAUGUAUCGUAACUGCUUGUGAAGAUGUAGUUUCUCUUUGGAAACCCUUGAAUUCUCUGCAGUGGGAGAAAGUUCAUACCUGGCACUUCACAGAGGGCGUUGCUGUGCUCUUCUGGUGAUGACAGUGAAAAGCAAGUCCUCCUGAAAUCUGGAGAUAUAAAAGCUAUGCUUGGCCUGACAAAGCGGAGGCUAGUUAGUAGCACUGGGACCUUUUGCAAUCAACAAAUACAAAUCAUGACAUUUGCUGACGACGGAAGCAGCAAAGAUGAACAGCUUUUGAUGCCUCCUGAUGAGACUGUACUGACUUUUGCUGAAGUCCAAGGGACGCAGGAAGCUCUGCUUGGUACUACCACUGUGAACAGCAUUGUGAUCUGGAAUUUAAAAACCGGCCAGCUCCUGAAGAAGAUGCACAUUGAUGACUCCUACCAGGCUUCGGUCUGUCACGGAGCCUAUUCUGAGAAGGUGAGUACUGACCCAGGGCUGUGUGGUGGUUAUUUGUGUUACCCAUUGGUCUCACCGCCCAGGGUGGGCAGUAACAGUGGCAGUCAGCAUGUCCUCCUGUUGUCUUUUCUUGCAACAUUGGAUGGCAAUGUGCUUUGACUUUGCUUUGCUUUGCUUCCUUUUGUUUGGAGACAGGUUCCCUGUAGCCCAGGCUGGCCUGCACCUGUCUAUGUCCUGAGUAAGAUGACCUUGAACUUACGAUUCCCUGCUUCUACCUCUCCAGUGCUGGGCUUUCUGGCACAAGUCAGGCUGAGCUACAAUCCUAUUGACUGAGCUACCUUCCUAGCCUGUUUGUUCUUUUUUGAGAUUUAUAAAUAAAACUGUUAAUGCAGAACGAUUGCUUGUCGAAUUUUAUAUCUGUAUGACUUAAAGACCCACUUCCAAACUAUGAUUUUUGUCCUAAAAGUAUUAUCCCUGAUAUCAAACUUGACACCUAACUACUUAACAAAGAAAAAGGGAGAAGAAAUCAUGAUAUAGCCCUGGUUGGUCUAGAACUCAGUAUGUAGCUCAGGCUAUCACAAAAUCUUGAGCCUAGCUUUUAUAAUCUAUUACAAAAGUUGAAUCUGUUUCUACAAUGUACCUGUUUGUUUGUUUGUUUGUUUGUUUCCAUUUAAGUAAUUAGCAUAUUUGGUAUAUACUAAUUACUUCUACUCACUGACCUUCAAAGCAGGGAGAGGGCUUAUGUGGCUUUUUCCAUACAAACCACAGACGAUGGUUCCUUUUUGUCACUUUAUGGGAAUUCUGAGGUUUAAUUUACAAAUGAGUACUUCCACUCUGAGGUUUCUUGUACUCGUCUCUUUGACAUCUGUCCUUGUACCAGCCUUUUCCCAGUGGAUGGCACAAGGUGUAUCUAAAGUAUAGGAACCUGAGGAGUCUGCUGGACUCAUGAUCAUCAGGCCUGGCAAGAAUCCAGACACUCGGUGUGGCGAUCACCUCAACUGCUGCUGUGUGAUGAAGGGAAGGCAGUGGUUAUAUCCUGCAUGUUGAAGAGUCUGUCCAUCAUUCCUUCUGCGCUGCUUUUGUCACCACCGCCAAUACUCUUGACAGUUGGGUGAUUGUUUCUCUCCUGCAACAGGGGCUCCUGUUUGUUGUUGUGAGUCAACCUUGUGCCAAAGAGAGCCAGGCCCUUGGAAGCCCUGUGUUCCAGCUGCUGGUGAUUAACCCUAAGACGGCCCAGAGUGUGGGUGUUCUGCUGUGUUCCCUUCCUCAGGGGCAGGCUGGAAGGUUCCUGGAAGGGGAUGUGAAAGAUCAUGUCGCAGCAGCAGUCCUGACUUCUGGGACAAUUGCCAUUUGGGAUUUGCUUCUGGGUCACUGCACGGCUCUCCUCCCACCUGUCUCUGACCAGAGUUGGUCUUUGGUUAAAUGGUCGGGUACAGAUUCUCACUUGCUAGCUGGACAAAAGGAUGGAAAUAUAUUUAUAUACCGAUACUUUUAAGAGGCAAAUAGUUUGGAGGUUUUUUGUUUUUUGUUUUUGUUUUUGUUUUUUUUAAGAAUACAAUAUCUGAAUGACAUUUAAUGUGAUUACUUGAAUGUAUUUCCCACACACUUAAUUUUCUUCUGAUAGUGACUACUGACUGAACAUUUGUUUAUAGUUAUUUUCAGGUUAAUAGUUUUAAGUCAUUCUUUGCACAUUUGCUAUUACAGCUGUACAUAACCAGUGAAUGUUAAUAAAUAUUUAUUUUGAUACAUUC